rnacentral:rRNA from 1 species
UACGUAGGGUGCGAGCGUUAAUCGGAAUUACUGGGCGUAAAGCGUGCGCAGGCGGUUUUGUAAGUCAGAUGUGAAAUCCCCGGGCUCAACCUGGGAACUGCAUUUGAGACUGCAAGACUGGAGUUUGGCAGAGGGGGGUGGAAUUCCACGUGUAGCAGUGAAAUGCGUAGAGAUGUGGAGGAACACCGAUGGCGAAGGCAGCCCCCUGGGCCAAUACUGACGCUCAUGCACGAAAGCGUGGGGAGCAAACAGGAUUAGAUACCCUGGUAGUCCACGCCCUAAACGAUGUCAACUAGGUGUUGGGAGGGUUAAACCUUUUAGUGCCGUAGCUAACGCGUGAAGUUGACCGCCUGGGGAGUACGGCCGCAAGGCUAAAACUCAAAGGAAUUGACGGGGACCCGCACAAGCGGUGGAGUAUGUGGCUUAAUUCGAUGCAACGCGAAGAACCUUACCUGGGCUUGACAUGCAUCUCUAAGCGCGUGAAAGCGCGUGACCCUUCGGGGGAUUUGCACAGGUGCUGCAUGGCCGUCGUCAGCUCGUGUCGUGAGAUGUUGGGUUAAGUCCCGCAACGAGCGCAACCCUUGUGAUUAGUUGCCAGCGGGUCAUGCCGGGAACUCUAGUCAGACUGCCCAGAUCAACUGGGAGGAAGGUGGGACGACGUCAGGUCAGUAUGGCCCUUACGCCCAGGGCUGCACACGUACUACAAUGCCCAGUACAAUGAGAACCGAUGCCGCGAGGUGGAGGAAAUCUGUAAAACUGGGCCCAGUUCGGAUUGGAGGCUGCAACUCGCCUCCAUGAAGUUGGAAUCGCUAGUAAUGGCGCAUCAUCUACGGCGCCGUGAAUACGUUCCCGGGUCUUGUACACACCGCCCGUCACAUCAUGGAAGCCGGUUUCACCCGAAGUGCCUGUAUCAACCGCAAGGAGACAGGGCCCUAAGGUGUGGCUGGUAACUGGGAUG